AUCGUCACGAAUUCAUUCCGCCGGGUAUAAAAGGCGCGAAGAAGUCCCUUUCAGCAUAGUCUUCUUUGACAUUUCCACUCAAAAUGUUCCGCUACGUAAAAAUUGUCGCUGUCGUCGCCCUCUGGGUCGCCAGUCUGGUCGCGGUUGCCACAGCUCAAGGCGAGGAGGACGAGGAGGAAUGAGCGCUGUGGACCACCCACCAACCCCCUGAACCGGAUUAAUUUCGUUAGAAAUAAUAAGCACUGACCUUUGCACUGCACUUGAAAUAAAAAUGUAAAAAAAACUGUUGUUUUUUAAUGUAUUGAUAAUCUUCGACGUGACGUCAUCGCGCUUCUAGAUUCGCGAUUGUUUUAAAAGUUAAAUAUUCGCACAAAUGGGUUUCUAAACACUAAUUUUACAUAAAACCCUGAUUAUCAUAGAUAUUCUUCGCUAUCUUUUUCGAAUUAAAAUACAAAUUGUUAAUGUAACCUUGUCGUUCUAGCUCUGUCAUUAAAUGUACACACUAUGUAUAUACAAUUUUUAAACUGAAUACUUAAAAGAGAGUUCGAAAAACGGCCAAGUUUGGACUGGUCGAGCCAUGAUUAAGCAUGUGAUGGUGAGAAACAUUUUUUUAAAUUUCGGAUUUAUGUUUGUAUAUAUAGUUUGACUUAAUUUAUUUGUCAGGUAGUUACUGCGAUUAUCGUAUGGGUUGUUACCGUUGUAAUAUUUUCUUCGUAUACUUGCAGCAAAAGAAACCCGACUAAUAGUCAUGGAAGAUCAUUUAUACAAAUGUUAAUAUACAAACG